rnacentral:rRNA from 2 species
GACGCUGGCGGCGUGCCUAAUACAUGCAAGUCGAACGAACUCUGGUAUUGAUUGGUGCUUGCAUCAUGAUUUACAUUUGAGUGAGUGGCGAACUGGUGAGUAACACGUGGGAAACCUGCCCAGAAGCGGGGGAUAACACCUGGAAACAGAUGCUAAUACCGCAUAACAACUUGGACCGCAUGGUCCGAGCUUGAAAGAUGGCUUCGGCUAUCACUUUUGGAUGGUCCCGCGGCGUAUUAGCUAGAUGGUGGGGUAACGGCUCACCAUGGCAAUGAUACGUAGCCGACCUGAGAGGGUAAUCGGCCACAUUGGGACUGAGACACGGCCCAAACUCCUACGGGAGGCAGCAGUAGGGAAUCUUCCACAAUGGACGAAAGUCUGAUGGAGCAACGCCGCGUGAGUGAAGAAGGGUUUCGGCUCGUAAAACUCUGUUGUUAAAGAAGAACAUAUCUGAGAGUAACUGUUCAGGUAUUGACGGUAUUUAACCAGAAAGCCACGGCUAACUACGUGCCAGCAGCCGCGGUAAUACGUAGGUGGCAAGCGUUGUCCGGAUUUAUUGGGCGUAAAGCGAGCGCAGGCGGUUUUUUAAGUCUGAUGUGAAAGCCUUCGGCUCAACCGAAGAAGUGCAUCGGAAACUGGGAAGACUUGAGUGCAGAAGAGGACAGUGGAACUCCAUGUGUAGCGGUGAAAUGCGUAGAUAUAUGGAAGAACACCAGUGGCGAAGGCGGCUGUCUGGUCUGUAACUGACGCUGAGGCUCGAAAGUAUGGGUAGCAAACAGGAUUAGAUACCCUGGUAGUCCAUACCGUAAACGAUGAAUGCUAAGUGUUGGAGGGUUUCCGCCCUUCAGUGCUGCAGCUAACGCAUUAAGCAUUCCGCCUGGGGAGUACGGCCGCAAGGCUGAAACUCAAAGGAAUUGACGGGGGCCCGCACAAGCGGUGGAGCAUGUGGUUUAAUUCGAAGCUACGCGAAGAACCUUACCAGGUCUUGACAUACUAUGCAAAUCUAAGAGAUUAGACGUUCCCUUCGGGGACAUGGAUACAGGUGGUGCAUGGUUGUCGUCAGCUCGUGUCGUGAGAUGUUGGGUUAAGUCCCGCAACGAGCGCAACCCUUAUUAUCAGUUGCCAGCAUUAAGUUGGGCACUCUGGUGAGACUGCCGGUGACAAACCGGAGGAAGGUGGGGAUGACGUCAAAUCAUCAUGCCCCUUAUGACCUGGGCUACACACGUGCUACAAUGGAUGGUACAACGAGUUGCGAACUCGCGAGAGUAAGCUAAUCUCUUAAAGCCAUUCUCAGUUCGGAUUGUAGGCUGCAACUCGCCUACAUGAAGUCGGAAUCGCUAGUAAUCGCGGAUCAGCAUGCCGCGGUGAAUACGUUCCCGGGCCUUGUACACACCGCCCGUCACACCAUGAGAGUUUGUAACACCCAAAGUCGGUGGGGUAACCUUUUAGGAACCAGCCGCCUAAGGUGGGACAGAUGAUUAGGGGAAG